AGCUGGGGGUGGCCGCAGAGACCAGCGAGAAGCGACUGUUUACUAAAAACACAGGUCCGUGCGAAGCCGUAAGGCGAUGUAUACGGACUGACGCCUGCCCGGUGCUGGAACGUUAAGGGGACCGGUUAGUGCACUUUCGGGUGUGCGAAGCUGAGAACUUAAGCGCCAGUAAACGGCGGUGGUAACUAUAACCAUCCUAAGGUAGCGAAAUUCCUUGUCGGGUAAGUUCCGACCUGCACGAAUGGCGUAACGACUUCUCGACUGUCUCAACCAUAGGCCCGGUGAAAUUGCACUACGAGUAAAGAUGCUCGUUUCGCGCAGCAGGACGGAAAGACCCCGGGACCUUUACUAUAGUUUGAUAUUGGUGUUCGGUUCGGCUUGUGUAGGAUAGGUGGGAGACUUUGAAGCAGCCACGCCAGUGGUUGUGGAGUCGCCGUUGAAAUACCACUCUGGUCGUGCUGGAUGUCUAACCUGGGUCCGUGAUCCGGAUCAGGGACAGUGUCUGAUGGGUAGUUUAACUGGGGCGGUUGCCUCCUAAAGAGUAACGGAGGCGCCCAAAGGUUCCCUCAGCCUGGUUGGCAAUCAGGUGUUGAGUGUAAGUGCACAAGGGAGCUUGACUGUGAGACCGACGGGUCGAGCAGGGACGAAAGUCGGGACUAGUGAUCCGGCAGUGGCUUGUGGAAGCGCUGUCGCUCAACGGAUAAAAGGUACCCCGGGGAUAACAGGCUGAUCUUCCCCAAGAGUCCAUAUCGACGGGAUGGUUUGGCACCUCGAUGUCGGCUCGUCGCAUCCUGGGGCUGGAGUCGGUCCCAAGGGUUGGGCUGUUCGCCCAUUAAAGCGGUACGCGAGCUGGGUUUAGAACGUCGUGAGACAGUUCGGUCCCUAUCCGCUGUGCGCGUAGGAAUAUUGAGAAGGGCUGUCCCUAGUACGAGAGGACCGGGACGGACGAACCUCUGGUGUGCCAGUUGUCCUGCCAAGGGCAUGGCUGGUUGGCUACGUUCGGAAAGGAUAACCGCUGAAAGCAUCUAAGCGGGAAGCCUGCUUCGAGAUGAGUAUUCCCACCACCUUGAGUGGUUAAGGCUCCCAGUAGACGACUGGGUUGAUAGGCCAGAUGUGGAAGCCCGGUAACGGGUGGAGCUGACUGGUACUAAUAGGCCGAGGGCUUGUCCUCAGUUGCUCGCGUCCACUGUGUUG
rnacentral:rRNA from 1 species